rnacentral:lncRNA from 1 species
CGGGAGGAGCGGCUGGAGGCUCUCCAGGCCAGCGGCAGCGGUGGCGUGCUGGCCACCCAUUCUCGUGACCUUGCUAAGGCCCCUGUUGCUUAACUCUCUGGCAAGCCCUUGGUUUCUGGCCAUUUUCCAGACUUCAUCACUCUUCUCUGCCAAUUCUAUGAGCCCCUGAUAGCCUUCCAAUAAAUUCCACUUGAUUACCACAUGGCUUGCAAUCAAGAACCCAGCAUAACACACAACCACUUAUUAAAUACUAAGUAAGAGCCAGACACUUGACAUGUGACAUCUUGUCAGAUCCUCAAACACCCCGGUGAGGAAAGCGUUAUUAUCCCUGUUUUCCAAAUGAGGACACUGAGGCUCAGGGAGCUGGGUGAUGUGUCAAAAGUUGCCCAGCUGCAGAGUGGCAAUGCUGGAAUUUGAAGCCAGGCUUUUCUGAUUCUGAAUUCCAUGUUUUCUUACUUGCCUUUUUCUUCUGCUCCAGCUUGCAGUGCCUCGGAGAGGUGGCGCUGGCUAGCCUGGGACUUCCAACAUACAGCCUACAUUGAUGGCCUGAGACUUGUGGCAAAAAAGACUUUCAAAAUCUAAUUUGCUCACAUACAUGAACACCUGCCAGGAAGGAAUUUGAGGCCUUUGUUCUAAACAUGGAAAAGCUGAGUUCAUUUGCCCCAGAGGGGGCACCUGCAGGGAAAAGGAAAAAUGGUUUUAACCCUUUCCUUGAGUCAGAAAAUGAGGCCACCAGAUUCUCCUUUCAUCCUUCAAGUAUCAGAAAGGUCUGUGCUGUGAAUUCCACAGAUGAGAUUCAUUGCAAGAUGUGAGGGCAGAGGAAAUCCAUGGAAAUGGACCGAAUCUCAGACUUCUUGGGGAAGGUUUCAGUGGCUGCCUUUGCUGUGCAGACCUGGAGAUGGGUCUGAUGAUCGGACACCUGAAUUAUCUGUGUGGCUGAGUUUCAAGAAGACCUGCUGGGGUGAAAUGAAAAUGGUGCCUACUAGAAGCCCCAGUGGCUUUGCUGGUGGAGGCUAGCUUGCUCAUGUCCUCAUACAGAAGCAGAGAUGCAAGCAAGUGAGAAGGUGGAAGGACUCAGGUCUUGGGCCUUACUCUGAGAACUAUAACACCAUUCCUUCUGCUGCAUUCUCUUGUCUAAAUGACAUGGAUGAAGCUGGAAGCCAUCAUUCUCAGCAAACUAACACAAGGACAGAAAACCAAACACCGUGUGUUCUCACUCAUAGAUUUGCUCCUCCACUGGCUCUUCUUGUAGACACACGACUGCUACAGUAUCAAGGGUCUGAUGCAGACAUGACAAUGUCAAGAGGAAGAGGAGAGCCUCGCUCUUCCCAGGCUUUUGCUUUUAAGAGCAGAAAAACUUUCCCCAGAGUUCCACCAGCUCACUUCUCAUCUUACUUCUUUGGCCAGAACUGGCCCUUGUGCCCAUAUUGUCAGUCAAAUGCCGACAAAGGAAAGGGGCCACUAUGAGUGGUUUAGACUUGGAUUGGAUUUGUCCUUAUUGGAUUGUCCUUAAGUCCUUUGAAAAAGAAGUAUACAACAGAAUGAAAUCUUGACUCAGCUUUCAAGAAUAAAGAGGGUGAGAUGACUGAUGGAUGGCUAGCAAAAUCAGAUGUGGGCUCUGUCCUCAUGGAGCAUACAGUCAGAAGGGGAAGAUUUACCUAAUUACACUAACAAACUUAUAACUGUGGUCAGUGUUCUGAAGGAAAGGAAAUCCAGUUGUAUGGUAACGUAUAACAAAGAAACUGAACUAGGAUGGAGAUGGGGGUGGUAAGUGUAGUUGGGGAAGCCAGGGACAUGAUCUGUAAGAUGGCUGGCCUGGAUUCAAAUUCCACUCCACUUACUUGCUGUGUGAUUUUAGAUUAGUCGCUUCUCCUCUCUGAGCUCAACUUCAUCUAUAACAAUCUUUCCUAGGGUUGUUAAAGGAUUGAAUGAGCCACUCUAUGUAACCACUUGACACAUAUUAGGCACUUCAGUGGCUCCUUUUCCAGAUUAAAGAAGGAGAAAACGUGUAUGUUUGGAGUUAGCACAAGACAGGAUGAUUCCUCAUGUUUGUUUUGGAAAACAAGUCUUAAACUCACAGCCAUGACAGAGUCUGACAUCAUCAGACAUCAGGCGUGUUAAGAAUUGCACUCUUAAUUGAAAAUGUCCAGAGUUUGUGAUUAAUUGCAAUCCUUUUCAGAUCCUUUCCCUAAGAAUUUAAUUUUUCUCCCCACCCACCCGGAGGUCAGGCUUUUAAUGUAACAAGUACAAUCAAUCUUCCACUGAAGAUGGCCUCUCUCUAGUGCAAGCUGGAGCAGGACUCAUCUGGAUUAGAAGCCUAGACGGUUUGGAGUCACCUGGUGAGGUUUACGUGCACAGCUGGGGCCCAGCCUACCUAAUUAGGACCAGAGAGUGGUUGAGAAGGGGACCGGCGCGUAUUCUAGGCGCCCUCCUCCAGUGUCUGUUUCUAAUAAUGGCAGAAAGUAGCAGAGGCGGCGGGGUGAGCUUGGAGCGUGGUGACAUCAUCCCUCCAGCUGUUUUACACAUCUGUGACAUGGCUCAUUAGGACUCUCUUAACACCUCAUCCUUCCCUGCUCCACACAGCUCCAGUUGCAUGAGAAAAGGUGCUCUUGCAUGUGAGGGGCCCCAAGACUGGGGCUGACUUCAGGGUCAAAGAUUCGCUUGGGCACUCUACCAGUCAUCAGAAUUUUCACAGAGACACCCCCCCAACACACACACCCGCAGCAUGCGCUCCUUGAAAGUGCUAAUAGCUUCAAUAUGAGGCUGGCACUUCUGCAUGACUGUUGGUGUUCAGGGCCAGCCUAGUCUUGGGGAGUAGGCCAUCUGUAGCAGCUGCAGAAAUGUUUUUGCUUAUUUUGAGCAUUCUAAGUUUUUCCUAGCCAUGAAUAACAACAAUCGAAUAAAUCAUCCCACAGUGUGUAGGAUGGUCGUUUUUUUGUUUUUUUUUUUCAGCAAGAACAACAAAAAAUGACAUAUCAUGUACUAUGGAUAAUACACAUAAAAAAUUCCGCCAUAUUUAUAGGCAGCAGUUAACUAACUAUAUUUAGAUAUUUGAAACUGUCUUAAAUCAGAUGAAUGAUAAAAGCUUCCUGGAUUUCAGUGGAAAGCCUAAAUGACUAAACCAAAAAAAAAAAAAAAAGUUUUAUUACUAUGAAGUAUAGUGCAUAUUCUGAAAUAAAAGAUAUGUGAUAUUUAUAAAAUAAAAAGAGAAACUUUGUCAAUAGACAGCAUCAUUUAAUAAAGCAGGGUCCCAGAUUUACAGACCUUUGUUUGAGUUCUAAAAUUUACUAGGAAGGAGGGUGCAGGGGUGGAAGCCGUUCAUUGUAGCUCUUUAAAUUUCCUCACUUUUGAAUGGAGAUGAUAAAAUGCCCCUCACAGGGUUUUUGAGAGGACUAAAAAUAUAAGGUAUGGAAAGUGUUUAGCAUUGUGCCUAUCACAAAGUUAGUGCUUGAAUAUAUUAGCUAUUGUCAUUAAUACUAUUGCUAUUCUUAUUUCUUCUACAACUGUUAUUGUUGAAAUGCGAAGUCAAAAUGGUACAUUUUUAUCAACUAUUAAGUGCUAUCAUGUUUCAAUUAAUACAUAAUGUUAUUGAUUA